rnacentral:snRNA from 1 species
AUACUUACUUUUCAGGGGAGAUACCAUGAUCACGAAGGUGGUUUUCCCAGGGCGAGGCUUAUCCAUUGCACUCUGGAUGUGCUGACCCCUGUGAUUUCCCCAAAUGCAGGAAACUUGACUGCAUAAUUUGUGGAAGUGGGGGACUGCAUUCGCGCUCUCUUCUG